CAGGGAUUCCCCUAGUAACUGCGAGUGAAGCGGGAAAAGCUCAAAUUUAAAAUCUGGCGGUUCUGCCGUCCGAGUUGUAAUUUAGAGAAGCGUUAUCCGUGCUGGACCGUGUACAAGUCUCCUGGAAUGGAGCGUCAUAGAGGGUGAGAAUCCCGUCUUUGACACGGACUCCCAGUGCAUUGUGAUGCGCUCUCAAAGAGUCGAGUUGUUUGGGAAUGCAGCUCAAAAUGGGUGGUAAAUUCCAUCUAAAGCUAAAUAUUGGGGAGAGACCGAUAGCGAACAAGUACCGUGAGGGAAAGAUGAAAAGGACUUUGGAAAGAGAGUUAAACAGUACGUGAAAUUGUUGAAAGGGAAACGCUUGAAGUCAGUCGCGUCGUUCAAGACUCAGCCUUGCUCUGCUUGGUGUACUUCUUGUUCGACGGGUCAGCAUCAAUUUUGGUCGGUGGAUAAAGGCUCAGAGAAUGUGGCAUCUUCGGGUGUGUUAUAGCUUUGGGUCGCAUACAUCGGCUGGGAUUGAGGAACUCAGCACGCCGCAAGGCCGGGUACUUGUACCACGUACGUGCUUAGGAUGCUGGCAUAAUGGCUUUAAUCGA
rnacentral:rRNA from 1 species